CACUGAGCUUCACUGCAGCAUUCUGAGCCGGUGUAUCUAGGUCAAUGUUGCCUUGACUUUGGAAUGAUAACAAUUGGCUAGUUUCGUCAGGCGAGGGUCACCUUCUGGCUACAUACAUGUAUCUACGGGUAUGAUAUCCGUGUUGAGACGCGUCACAAGCAGUUCAUCCUUGUUUGUGACUCGGCGUUAUAUUUAUACUUCUUUUGUGACCGGAUUUUCCAAGAUGGCGGCCCCAAGCCCGCGCUACACACUUUACAUGUCGGGGACAUCAUACUACGCCCAGAAGGUUAUGAUGGCACUGUUCGAGAAAAAUGAACCAUUUGUGGAAAAGUUAGUGAACCAACGUAUAGACGACAACUACGAAAGCUGGUACAUGAAGCUAAACCCGCUGGGGAAGGUUCCAAUUAUGGAGGACAGAGGGAAGAUCAUCCCCGAAUCUGACGACAUCAUCGACUACCUUGACAAGGAAUUGCCUCAAGCACCGCGCCUUGUACCUGAUCCGUCGUCAGACCUCGGCCGUGAGGUGGCGCACUUCAGGAAGCUGCUGGACGUCAGCGUGGGCAUCAUCGUCCACGGCCUCGCCUACAACCCCAACCUCUCCCCUGACUACACCGCCGUGAAGACACGGGGAGAGCUGGAUGAGAUGUUUGCUGGUAAAAUCGCAAAGCUUGAGAAACUCGCCACUGAACACCCCGACCUGAGAGACGCCUACCUCGCUAAGAUACCGCCAUUACAGAAGAGGAAGGAAAUGUGCAGUAACCCGGAAGUUGUUCAAAGGUCACUUGAUGACCUUCAGACGACCUUGGAUGAAGUCGAGGCCAAAUUGGUGAAAGGUUCCCCCGGUGAGACGUGGUUGCUGUGCAGCGACUUGACCGUGGCGGAUAUUUCCCUGGCAGUGCUGCUCCGACGUCUGGCACUGAGUGGUCUGGCCUCCGUCUAUUUCUCCCCCACCCUGAGGCCGGCACUACACAAGUACUGGCUCCGCCUACAGACUCUCCCAGCAUACAGUCGGCUGGGGGACAUCGCUGUCAAGUACGGCGUCCAGGCGUAGUUACAUCAUUACAUGUACUACCGACACAUCAGACACCAUGGGUGUGGACACGUGUAUCAGGACAUUGACCAGACUGAGGCCCCUUUAGUCAGGAAUAUAUAGUCCCCAGUGAUUUAAAAUAAUCCGGAAUGAAUACACACCGUAACCUGAUAUUAAUACUGUAAACAUCAGCCUAAUGUUAACUAGCAUACAGUCCCCGAAAUAAUGUUAUGUAUAAGGUCAAUUAUAAAUAAUUCUAUAUCGGAACACUGUCUCGUAAUUUCAGGACGUGUAUCAGGACAUAGACCAGACUGGUGCACCUUUAGUCGGGAAGAUACAGUUCCCAGUAAUUUGAAAUAAUCCGGAUUUACACAUCGUGAUUACACAUCGUGAAGUAAUGUCCCCUUGUACGUGUACGUACGCACGCGUACGUGAGUGCGAGUGUGUGUUCGUGCGUACGUACCUGCGUUUGUGGGAGUUCCGGUCUCUAACGGGGUUUCGCCGUCUAUGACGCAAGUGUAUAGGGCGUUAUUAUAUACGAGAUAAGAUAGAUCACUGCCUUAUCUGGACACCCAUUAAAGGCUACCAUCGGAUUGGGCGGAAUCACUUCCUCUACACUUCCGGGCAAAAUAAACUAUACACUUGAAAAUUGGAUUUGACCAACAAUAAGAAAUGUUAUCAAACGUUACAAGGCUGAAAACAGUCUCUAAUCACUGCAAACAGUCGUCCAAAACACAACUAUGAUACUUGUAUCAAAUACAGAAUCAUCGAGUAGCCA
rnacentral:misc_RNA from 1 species